AGGUGCCCCAGCUUCACCACCGCCUAACCCGACGUCAAGCGCCCUCCCCGUCGCAACCACCUCCAACCCCUGCCCAACUGAAUCUUUCGACGUUGCAGCUUCUCCAGGCCCAUGCGUUCUUCAACUCUACUCGACCUCGCGCGUGCUAGCGUCACCCAGCUCUGAUCCGGGCCACCGAACAUUUUAUCAAGCAGGCUCAAGUCAGCGCGCUAAGACGAGAAGAGGGCAAAACUCUAGAUUCCCUAGUGAGGAUCCAGUCUUGGCAGCAGAAUGGCAUUCGAGCAGGGAUCUAAGGGAACAAUAGUUGCAGUAGCCCUCGUCGAGCUCAGUCGGCUUGGAAUUCAUAGUGUGGAGCCUUUAUGAGCUUUUGCCAUGCCAGUCAUUGAGCUCUGUUUGGCAGAGAUUGGAGCUGCGUGACCUCUAGAGCAUUGAACUGAGCUCCGGCGUGCGAAUGUGAUCUGGGAGGAGGUGGAAGAAACGAGAGAUUUGCAAAUUUGAAACUCUAAACAUCAGAGUGUCAGCCAAUUUGACACCGGGUCUAGUUGCAUAGACUCAGGUUGGCCCACAUGUCAGCCUCAGCGGGCAAUUGGCACUUUUUAGAGUGUCAAAUCAGCAAUUUUCUCGACGGAUCGAGAGAUUUGCAGAUUUGACACUCUAAACAUCAGAGUGUCAGCCAAUUUGACACCGAGCCCUGUUACAUAGACUCAGGUUGGCCCACAUAUCAGCCUCAGCGGGCAAUUGGCACUUUUUAGAGUGUCAAAUCAGCAAUUUUCUUGACGGAUUGAGAGAUUUGCAGAUUUGACACUCUAAACAUCAGAGUGUCAGCCAAUUUGACACCAGGUCCAGUUGUAUAGACUCAGGUUGACCCACAUAUCAGCCUCAGCAGGCAAUUGGCACUUCUUUAGAGUGUCAAAUCAGCAAUUUUCUCGAUGGAUCGAGAGAUUUGCAGAGCUUUUUUGUGUGAUGAUCUGUAAUGUUGUUGUUGAGAAAUAACUCGAAACUGUUACUGAAAAUUGUGAAAUAACUCGAAACUGUUACUGAAAAUUUCGGACUAUUGUUACUGA